UGAUGCAGCCAUGCCGCGUGUAUGAAGAAGGCCUUCGGGUUGUAAAGUACUUUCAGCAGUGAGGAAGGUGGGUAUGUUAAUAGCAUAUUCAUUUGACGUUAGCUGCAGAAGAAGCACCGGCUAACUCCGUGCCAGCAGCCGCGGUAAUACGGAGGGUGCGAGCGUUAAUCGGAAUUACUGGGCGUAAAGCGCAUGCAGGUGGUUUGUUAAGUCAGAUGUGAAAGCCCGGGGCUCAACCUCGGAAUUGCAUUUGAAACUGGCAAACUAGAGUACUGUAGGAGGGGGUAGGAAUUUCAGGUGUAGCGGUGAAAUGCGUAGAGAUCUGAAGGAAUACCGGUGGCGAAGGCGGCCCCCUGGACAGAUACUGACACUCAGAUGCGAAAGCGUGGGGAGCAAACAGGAUUAGAUACCCUGGUAG
rnacentral:rRNA from 1 species